UGAUGAAAAGGAGAUAUGCAAAAAACUUCAGCAUCUCAAGAGUGUAGCAGAAAUAAUUGAUGCUUCCAAAUGUCUCCUACCAUGUGCUGCAGAGUACCACAGAAUUUUGAAAUUUAAUGCUGAUUUUAAUGAAUUUAUUGACACUGACCUAACUGAAAAAGUGGAAAACAAGGAUAAGUUUCAAGUUUUGUUUAAGUCAAUUCAGAGAACUGGAUCACAGGCAUUGAAUGGAAAGGGGGAUGCCGAUGCAGCCAGUCCAAGUCAUCAAUAGAAAGUUGCACCAAAGAACAUACCAGAACCUGGUUCAAGUAGUCAACAGAAGGUUUGUAAGUAAGUGCUGAAAUAACAGCACUCUGUUCACUAUUUGUAUUACUCUGUUUGACUUUGUUUGCCCAUUCCAGAGAAAAUUUGUACAUUUUGCCAGUUCAUGUUGACAAGUGUCUUCAUAAGUGAGUUUAACCAGUUCAUUCAAAGAUGCAAAUUCAUUCUGAAACAGUAUAAGGAAGUGACUUUGAGUAAGUGAAUCAUUAACUCAUCUAAUUAGAAAUACUUUGUGUCUCUUAUAUUUCCAGCGUCAACGUAAUAGAAUUGAUGUAGACACUCUGCGAGCACUAAUUGAAAGCAAAGGUCUGAGUAUAUUGAAGGAUUAUGAAGCUUCAGGAAUGCUUUCAGAGACAUCAAGAAAAGUCCUUGUGAA